rnacentral:rRNA from 1 species
UAGGGAAUCUUCCACAAUGGACGCAAGUCUGAUGGAGCAACGCCGCGUGAGUGAAGAAGGGUUUCGGCUCGUAAAGCUCUGUUGUUAAAGAAGAACGUGGGUAAGAGUAACUGUUCAGGUAUUGACGGUAUUUAACCAGAAAGCCACGGCUAACUACGUGCCAA